rnacentral:sRNA from 1 species
UUGUUACAACAACUGGAAGACUCAACAAGGUGGACCA